rnacentral:rRNA from 1 species
AUGUGGCUCCUUGUGAUGGCCGCCUUCUUCUUGGCCAGCGCCGCCGUCGCCUUCGGCCCCGAAGGCCUCCUCGGCAGCUCUCCGGCCACGACGGCGGUGAAGACGGCUCACCUUCUCUUCUUUGCCACAUCCUUGGGAGCCACCGUCUGGGCCAUCUUAGUCAGUGGCUUAGUAAUGUUCCUCCACUUGCCGAGGCACGUGAUGGGAAGGCUGCGCGGGAAGGUGUUCCCGGCGUGCUUCAAGCUGAACGCGGCGUGCACGGCCGUGUCCGCGGCGGCAUUCGCCUGGCUACACUAUCCGUGGAAGGCGACCCCGGCGGUGGAGCGCCGGCAGCUUGGGCUCCUUGUCGCCACCGUCGGGUUCGACCUCGCCAACCUGUUCCUCUUAGCGCCGAAGACCCUCAAGGGCCCUUGGCAUCGGCGAACGGGGAUCCAUCGACGGCUUACGGAGCAACGUGCGGGCGGCCAAGAGCGACGCCACCCUUGCCGCGGCCAACAGGAGGUUCCUGGUGGCCCACAUCUCAUCGGCGAUGGCACUUCUCGCGCAUCGAUCUCCGGCCUUGUUGCCCACUCGUGGUACCUUGCGGGCAAGCUCGCUCUGUGA